rnacentral:tRNA from 1 species
GGGGAUUAGCUCAGUUGGCUAGAGCGCUUGCCUUGCACGCAAGAGGUCAUCGGUUCGACUCCGAUAUUCUCC